GAUGAACGCUAGCGAUAGGCCUAACACAUGCAAGUCGAGGGGCAUCACGGAGUAGCAAUACUUUGGUGGCGACCGGCGCACGGGUGAGUAACGCGUAUGCAAUCUACCUACAACAGGGGGAUAACCCGGAGAAAUCCGGACUAAUACCGCAUAACCCAGGGGUCCCGCAUGGGAAUAUUUGUUAAAGAUUUAUCGGUUGUAGAUGAGCAUGCGUUCCAUUAGGUAGUUGGUGAGGUAACGGCCCGCCAAGCCUGCGAUGGAUAGGGGAACUGAGAGGUUUGUCCCCCACACUGGAACUGAGACACGGACCAGACCCCUACGGGAGGCAGCAGUGAGGAAUAUUGGUCAAUGGGCGAGAGCCUGAACCGGCCAAAUCGCGUGAAGGAAGACUGCCUUAUGGGUUGUAAACUUCUUUUGUACAGGAAAAAAAAGAGGGACGUGUCCUUCAUUGCAUGUACUGUACGAAUAAGCAUCGGCUAACUCCGUGCCAGCCGCCGCCGUAA
rnacentral:rRNA from 1 species